UACGGGGGGGGUAAGCGUUGUUCGGAAUUACUGGGCGUAAAGGGCUCGUAGGCGGCCAACUAAGUCAGACGUGAAAUCCCUCAGCUUAACUGGGGAACUGCGUCUGAUACUGGAUGGCUUGGAUUUGGGAGAGGGAUGCGGAAUUCCAGGUGUAGCGGUGAAAUGCGUAGAUAUCUGGAGGAACACCGGUGGCGAAGGCGGCAUCCUGGACCAAUAUUGACGCUGAGGAGCGAAAGCGUGGGGAGCAAACAGG
rnacentral:rRNA from 1 species